UCUGUCAGUUUUCUGUGACUACUUUUGGAAGUGAAAGAGUUAUUUUGUUCUCCAAUUUAAUGAACAGUCCAAGUUGGUGACAUUUCUUCAAUUUAUAUGCGACGGUUACACUUUCCUAAGCUUACGUUAAGAAACAGAGGGUUCCUCACUCAUUUCAUAUCUUAGUGUAUCUAGCAGUGUGAAGAAAGAAGCACAAUAAUCUUUCAUAGACAUUGUUCUGUUUCAACAACUGUGUUCUCCAUUUUUGCAUAGUUCCUCAACUUCAACAGAGAAAAAUAGGAGA
rnacentral:sRNA from 1 species